CCUACGGGUGGCAGCAGUGAGGAAUAUUGGUCAAUGGGCGAGAGCCUGAACCAGCCAAGUCGCGUGAAGGAUGACGGCCCUACGGGUUGUAAACUUCUUUUGUCAGGGAGCAAUUGGGUCCACGCGUGGGCUUAGCGAGAGUACCUGAAGAAAAAGCAUCGGCUAACUCCGUGCCAGCAGCCGCGGUAAUACGGAGGAGGCGAGCGUUAUCCGGAAUGACUGGGCGUAAAGGGUGCGUAGGUGGUUUGGCAAGUUAGUAGCGUAACUCCAAGGCUCAACCUUGGAACUACUACUAAAACUGUUGGACUUGAGUGCAGGAGGGGCAACCGGAAUUCCUAGUGUAGCGGUGGAAUGCGUAGAUAUUAGGAGGAACACCAGUGGCGAAGGCGGGUUGCUAGACUGUAACUGACACUGAGGCACGAAAGCGUGGGGAGCAAACAGGAUUAGAUACCCGUGUAGUC
rnacentral:rRNA from 1 species